rnacentral:lncRNA from 1 species
AUCCAAUCAGAAUAUGUAGUCCAGGAACGGCAUUUGCAUAACCUCGGUAUAUAAAGCAUGGUGAGGUCGCAUCAGGUCAUUUCAGGCUCUGCUGUGUCAAGUCGGGGAGCGGCUCUUUGCUCAGCUUAGAGAACUGGAAGAGGCCGCAACCUUCUGCCUGCUGGAGGCUGGAGGAUGGAUGGAGCCUGGAGCCUGGGACACUACCUUGCUGUGGUUGGUGGUGGCGACAGAGCAGUAAGAGGGUGGCCGGCAGCAGGAGCUUGUCCUGCUGGGCUGGAGGACUAGGAGAAGGAAGAGGCACCACCACAUGCUGGAGGCUGAAGCCUGGAGUCUGUGCCACCAUGGCUCGCCUCGCUGUGGUUGGUGGUGACGCUGGAGACUGCAGCUGGGCCACAGUGGUAGAAAUGUGAUGGGGUAGGUUGGAAACACUCUCUUUACGGAAUCUGCAAAUGGACAUUUCAGAGCCUAUUGAGGCCUACACUGAAAAACCAAAUAUCCUGCAAUAAAAACUACAAAUAAGCUACCUGUGAAAAUGUUUUGUGAGGUUUGGAUUCAUCUCACAGAUUUAACCCUUUGUUUUGAUUCAGCAGGUUGGAAAUACUCUUGUUGUAGAAUCUAUGAAGGGACAUUUCAGAGCUCAUUGAGGCCUAUAGAGAAAAAUCAAAUAUCCUGCGAUAAAAACUGUAAAGAAGCUACCUCUGAAAAUACUUUGUGAUGUGUGAUUUUAUCUCAGAAGUUGAACUUUUCAUUUGAUUCUGCAGCAGGUUGGAAACACUCUUUUUCUACAAUCUACAAAGGUACAUUUUGGAGCAAAUUGAGGGUUAUACUGAAAAAUCGAUUAUCUCACAAUACAAACUAGGAAAAAGUUAUCCGUGAAAAUGCUUCGCAAUGUGUGAAUCCAUCUCACAAAUUUAAACCUUUGUGUUCAUUCAGCAGGUUAGGAAUACUUUUUUUGUAGAAUAUACAAAGGGACAUUUGACACCUUUGGAAGCCUAUAGUAAAAAAGCAAUUAUUUCUCAAUAAAAAAUUUGUCUCUGAAAAUGCUUUGUGAUAUGUGGAUUCUUUUCACAGAGUAAAACGUAUGUUUUUAUCCCACAGGUUGGAAACACUGUUGUUGUUGAAUAUGCGAAGGGACAUUUCAGAGCUAAUUGAGGCCUAUAGUGAAAAACCGAAUAUCCCAUGAUAAAAACUAUAAAGAAGCUAUCUCUGAAAAUAUUUUGUGAUGUGUGAUUUUCAUCUCACAAGUUGAACUUUUGUUUUUAUUCAGCAGCAGGCCAAAAUUACUCUUUUGGUAAAAUCUACGAAGGAACAUUUUGGAGCCCAUUGAUGCCUGAGGUAAAAAACUGAAAACUGAAUAUCUUGUGAUAAAAACUAGAAACAAGCUUUCUGUGAAAAUGCUUUACAAUGCAUCAUUUUAUGUCACAGAGUUAAAUCUUUGUUUUGAUUCAGCUGGUUAAAAACACUCUUGUAGAAACUAUGAGAGGACAUUUCAGAACAUGUUGAAGUCUAUAGUGAAUAACAAAAUAUCCCGCAAUAAAAACUAGAAGCAAGCUAUCUAUGAAAAUGCUUUGUGAUGUGUGCAUUUAUCUUGCAGAUCUAAACAUUGUUUUGAUUCAUCAGGUGAGAAACACCCUUUUGAUGCAAUGUACAAACGGACGUUUCAGAGCCCACUGAGCCCCAUAGUCAUAAAACCAAAUAUCCUGCUAUAAAACUGGAAACGAGCUAUCUGUGAAAAUGUUUUGUGAUGUGUGGAUUCAUCUCAUAUAGUUAACCCUUUAUUUUGAUUCAGCAGGAUGAAAACACUCUUUGUGUAAAACCUACAAAAGGGAGGUUGGAAACACUCUUAUUGUGAAAUUUACGAAGGGACAUUUUGGAGCCCACUGAAGCCUAUGUGAAAAACCAAAUAUCUCACCAUUAAAACUAGCUAAACAAACUACCCAUGAAAAUGCUUGGCCAUAUGUGGAAUAAUUUUACAGAGUUAAAUCUUUGUUUUUAUUCAGCAAGUUGGAAAUGCUCUCUUGUACAAUCUACGAGGGGACAUUUUGGAGCCCAUUGAGGCCUAUAGUAAAAAAUCAAGUGUCCCGUAAUAAAAACUACAAAGAAUCUAUGUCUGAAAAUGUUCUGUAAUGUAUGAUUUUAUCUCACAGAGUUAAACUGUUGUUUUGUUUCAGCAGGUUGGAAACUCUCUUUUGGUAGAAUCUUCAAAGAGACAUUUGAGAGCCCAUUGAGGCUUGGAGUGAAAAACCAAAUAUCCAGCAAUAAAAACUAGAAACAAGCAAUCUGCAAAAAUGCUUUGUGAUGUGUUCAUUUAUUUUGCAGAGUUAAAACUUCAUUUUGAUUCAACAGGUUAAAAACACUCUUGUAGAAUAUAGGAAGUGACAUUUCUAAGCCCAUUGAGGCCUAUACUGAAAAACUGAAUAUCUCACAACAAAAACUAGAAAAAAAUCUAUCUGUGAAAAUACUUUGCAAUGUGAGGAUUUAUCUCACAGAGGUAAGCCUUUGUAUUAAUACAGCAGGCUGGAAACACUCUUUUUGUAAAAUCUACAAAGGGACAUUUCAUAGACCAUUGAGGCCUACAGUGAAAGAUCAAAUAUUUUGUGAUUAAAACUAGAAAAAAGCUAUCUGUUAAAAUGCUUUGCAAUGUUUGGAUUCAUUUUACAGAGUUAAGCCUUUGUUUGGAUUCAGCAGGUUGAAAACACUCUUUUUGUAGAAUCAACAUAGGGACAUUUCAGAGCACAUUGAGGCCUACGGUGAAAAACCCAACAUCCCAUGAUAAAAACUAGAUUCAAGCUAUCUGUAAACAUGCUAUGCAAUGUCUGGAUUAGCCCAAAAAAGUUAAACCUUUAAUUUGAUUCAGCAAGUAGGAAACACUGUUCUUGUAGAAUCUAAGAAGGGACACUUCAGAGCCCAUUUAGGCCUAGAGUGAAAACCCACUUAUCCUGCGAUAAAAACUAGAAACAAGCUAUCUGUGAAAAUCUUUUCUGAUGUGGGCAUUCAUCUCAAAGAGUUAAACCUUUCUUUUGAUUCAGCAGGUUGGAAACACUCUUUUAGUAGAAUCUACAGAGGGACAGUUUGGAACCUAUUUAGACCCAUAGUCAAAAAAGCAAAUAUCCCACAAUAAAAACUAGUAACAAGCUAUCUGUGAAAAUGCUUUGCAAUGUGGGGAUUCAUCUCACAGAGUCAAACCUUUGUUUGGAUUCAGCAGGAUGAAAACACACUUUUUGUAAAUCUACAAAGAGGACUUUGGAAAAACUCUUUUUAUGAAUCUACAAAGGGACAUUUUGGAGCCCAUUCAGGUCUACAGUAGAAAACCAAAUAUUCCAGGAUAAAAACUAAAAACAAGCUAUCUGUGAAAAUGCUUCUUGAUGUGUGCAUUCACCAAAUAUAGGUAAACUUUUUUUUUGAUUCAGCAGGUUGGAAACCCUCUUUUUAUAGAAUCUACAAAGGGGCAUUUCGAAGCCCAUUGAGGCCUAUAGUGAAAAAUUGAACAUUCAACAAUAAAAACUAGUAACAAGCUAUAUUUGAAAUUGCUUUGUGAUGUGUGGGUUCAUCUCACUGUUACAUCAUCAUUUUGAUUUAGCAGGUUGGAAAUGCUCUUUUGUAGAAUCUAUGAAGGAACAUUUGGAAUCGCAUUAAAGCCUAUAGAGAAAAACUGAAUAUUCUGCAAUAAAAACUAGGAACGAGGUAUCUGUGAAAAUGCUCUUCGAUGUGUGCAUUCAUCUCACAGAGAUAAACAUUUCUUUUGAGUCAUCAGAUUGGAAACUCUUU